rnacentral:rRNA from 1 species
CCUACGGGUGGCAGCAGUGAGGAAUAUUGGUCAAUGGGCGCGAGCCUGAACCAGCCAAGUCGCGUGAAGGAUGACUGAUCUAUGGGUUGUAAACUUCUUUUAUAAGGGAAUAAAGUGAGGCACGUGUGCCUUUUUGUAUGUACUUUAUGAAUAAGGAUCGGCUAACUCCGUGCCAGCAGCCGCGGUAAUACGGAGGAUCCGAGCGUUAUCCGGAUUUAUUGGGUUUAAAGGGAGCGUAGUUGGGUUGUUAAGUCAGUUGUGAAAGUUUGUGGCUCAACCGUAAAAUUGCAAUUGAUACUGGCAGUCUUGAGUACAGGUGAGGUAGGCGGAAUGCGUGGUGUAGCGGUGAAAUGCGUAGAUAUCACGAAGAACUCCGAUUGCGAAGGCAGCUUACUAAACUGUAACUGACAUUGAUGCUCGAAAGUGUGGGGAGCAAACAGGAUUAGAUACCCCUGUAGUC